rnacentral:lncRNA from 1 species
UUCUAUGGGUCGUUACAUUCAGCCACAAUCUGCCUAUAGUUCAUCGCCAAUUUUUGGAAAAGGGUAUUAUUGGGUCUUGUAAUUUAAUCUCUCUCUUAAUAACUAGUAACCGCAAUUAAAGCCAAAAUUUUGGGAAACAAAAAUCUUAGCAUUUACUAGGGUUUGAGUUACUUCUUCUUGUUGGUGGCGCAUGAUUUCGAGAACUCAAAAAUUCACUCUCAAUUUAUUUUUAGUGCAAUCUGCCAGAAAUUCAAGCCCCUUUGAAUCAACUAAUUCAUUCAACAUUGUUAGGUUAUGGCAAGAACAAAAGGGAGCAAGAAUGGUGAGUUUUUCGAUUCUUGAUAUUCAAGCUCUAUCUAUUUGUUUUUUUCUUCUUUGAGAGCAUCUAUUUGAAUUCUGAAAUUUCACGGAAUUGGUUCAUCGAGAACCAUCAGUUAAUUCGUGAAGAUUAAAUAUUUGUUGAUGCGAAUGAAGGAUAAACGAAUGAACUGGAUUCGUACAUAAUUUUUAAGAAAGAUUGUGGAUAUAUUUUAGGCGUCUAUUUAUUUAACUUUGAGAGAUCUCGUUUUCUUCCUUGUUGACUAUACAGGGAUCUCGUUUUCAGAGAUGAACCAAGUUUUUUAAUUUCCACUUUCACCUGUUGUCGUUUUCGAUUCUUUGACCUCAUUACGGGAUUGUUUGUAAAAUGUCAUACAAGGAUUGAAUUGUGCUAUUUUAUUUGGCAUGUGUUAUGUUGGCUUUAGAUUGUUAAAAAGUUAGGAUGAAUAAUUGGUAAACAUUUUUGCAGUUGUGAAGCCUGCGGACGAAGGAAAGUCAAAUAAGCAAAGGUAAAAACUAUAUUUGGAUUGUGUAAAUGUUAGAGCUACAGUACGAAUUAUUUGACUUGUGAAAAUGCAUUGAAUACAAGGCUUGUGCAUCGAAAAUGUUAGUUGUAUUAAGCAUAAUGGGGAAAAUGGAAAAUUACUUAUUUCAGAUAAAAUGGUGCAUAAGACAGUAUGAAUUAUUUAGAUUGUUAAAAUGAAUAAAUUAUGCAUUGAUAAGUGCAUUUGGUAGUUCCAGACAAUUCAUACUGCACUCCUUACGGAUGGGUGAUAAUUCGUACAGUACAAACAUCUCCAUCUGCAUAAUAAUUCAUACACAGAUUGAUUGUCUUCUAUUGUGUUUUUUAAAAGUGGAUUGCAUUUUUUGGGCAGGUUUUUUAAAGUGGAGGGCGGCUGUUGUCGCACGUCCUGGUGGAGGGUGGCGCGGUGGUUCUGAAUCGCGUAGGGGCGCGGGGUGGCGUAAGGACGACGUGGCAGUUGCAGGUGCGGACGGCGGGAGACUGACGUGAGUUGUGGUGGUGGCGGUGCUGCUGCUCGGCGUCUGGAUCCGACGUUGUGUGCAAGAGAGAUGAACAGAGGUGGUGCAUGGAUGAACGGAGACGGGAUCUGGAGUAAGGAGGCGUGGGAAAUAUGCGCAAGGCGGCGCUAACAGCGUCCGGUUGAACUGAAGUGGUGGGCGGAGCGUGGCAUCGCUACUAGAAGAAACUUGGAGACUAGGCCGCGCUCUGCAUGGCGUUCAAUUAGGGUCGAGGAUUUAUCUGCAAUUUCAGCAUAUUAUUAUAUUAUGCAUACAAUUUCACUAAAUAAUUCACAUGUUUAUACUAACUUUAUGUUGUAAUGGAUGAGUAUGAAUUUAAUAUUGAAACUGUACGAAUAAUUCAUACAUUGUUAA